rnacentral:rRNA from 1 species
CUUUUGAAUUUUUAAGGAUAUGUCGUUUAAUGACAUCUUUUAGAUGGAUGAUUCGGUAAAUAUGCUAGUUCUUUCAUGAUUAUGUGAUAGUGGGCAUGGCCGUUCUUAGUUCGUGGAGUGAUCUGUCUGCUUAAUUGCGUUUCACUAAGGCCCCAAAGUUAGCAAAUUAUCAAUCGUUACAGAGUCGACCCCUCACCUUUGAGUGCGCGUCCUAACUUGUAGUACAUGGUGUAAAUGGAUUUGUUUUGGGUACCCAGAAAGCAACGAACGUGACCGCAACGUCUUGUUGUCUCUCUUUGACAGUUAUGGGUUAUCCCAGUCAUGUGUUUAUACUUUUAUGUGUAAAUACGUACGACACAGAGACUAGAUACCAAACUAGGCGUGCCGCUGUAUCAUUUCUUUAAACCAGAGGAAGGUUGCGGCAAUAACAG